rnacentral:rRNA from 1 species
CCUACGGGAGGCAGCAGUGGGGGAUAUUGCACAAUGGGGGGAACCCUGAUGCAGCGACGCCGCGUGGGUGAAGAAGCGCCUCGGCGCGUAAAGCCCUGUCAGCAGGGAAGAAAAUGACGGUACCUGAAGAAGAAGCCCCGGCUAACUACGUGCCAGCAGCCGCGGUAAUACGUAGGGGGCAAGCGUUAUCCGGAUUUACUGGGUGUAAAGGGGGCGCAGACGGCGAUGCAAGCCAGGUGUGAAAGCCCGGGGCACAACCCCGGGAGUGCGCUUGAGAAGGCGUGGCUGGAGUUCAGGGGGGGCAGGCGGAAUUCCUGGUGUAGCGGUGAAAUGCGUAGAUAUCAGGAGGAACGCCGGUGGCGAAGGCGGCCUGCUGGACUGCAACUGACGUUGAGGCCCGAAAGCGUGGGGAGCAAACAGGAUUAGAUACCCUAGUAGUC